GAUGAAGAACGUAGCGAAAUGCGAUAAGUAGUGUGAAUUGCAGAAUUCAGUGAAUCAUCGAAUCUUUGAACGCACAUUGCGCCCACUGGUAUUCCGGUGGGCAUGCCUGUUCGAGCGUCAUUAUCCUCCCUCAAACCCCGGGUUUGGUGUUGGACCCAAGUUGUGUGAACAACUGGUCUCAAAGACAAUGACGGCGUCCGUGGGACCCUCGGUGCAACGAGCUUUUAGGAGCACGCAUCGAGUUGCAAGGACCUUCCGGGCCGGUCUCCUUUACCAUUUUACAAGGUUGACCUCGGAUCAGGUAGGAAUACCCGCUGAACUUAAGCAUAUCAAUAAGCGGAGGA
rnacentral:misc_RNA from 1 species